rnacentral:rRNA from 1 species
AUGGAGCAGGCGACAUCGAUCUCGUCUUCCUCCCAUGAACCUGGUUCGUUCCUGCCCCCCGUCUCCGUUUUGGUAGGAAAUAGAGAAAUUAAGCUUCUCCGUCCGAUGCAUGGAGGCGCGCAGUUCAUCACGAUCUCGCCGGCGCCGGAUGAGAAUGAGAUGGGGAUGGAGCAGGUCCUGGCGGAUCUGCAGGCGCUCAAGGGGCUCUACGGCCUGCUUCACAGGGCCCCCCAGCCAAAUGAAAAUUUGAACGAGGCAUCAAGAGAUAUGUUAAUGAAGAUGCUAGACAACGCUACUCAGCAGACUCUCCUAAGACAGGCAAAGCUGCUGUCAGGCCCCCUGAUGUCUCCUGCUGUGGAGAGGAAGCUCUCGAUCCAACCAGGCCGCCGGACAAGCGGCAACGCCGAGCAUCGCCUGAAGCCGACCGCGUCGCCCAGCCCCAGCCUCUGCGCCAGCCAGAUGUCCCGGAGGCUGAAGCCGCAGAGCUCGGCGAGAAGCCGGGACGCCCGCAGCGUGUACGACGACCAUCGCCGCCGCGAGAGGGACGGUCGUCUCCUUGCUCGCGUCGACUCCGGCCGCUCGUCAAGAACCGCGAUGCCGCAGCUCCAUCAGAGGACUCCGGAUCAGCGCCUUUCCCGCCUCGCCUCCAACCGUUCGUCCAGGGUCGCCGAGCCGCGGCUCCAUCCGAGCACUCCGGAGCAGCGCCUUUCCCGCGUCGACUCCAACCGCUCGGUCGCCGAGCCACGGCUCCGUCCGAGCACUCCGGAGCAGCGCCUUUCCCGCGUCGCCUCCAACCGUUCGUCCAGGGUCGCCGAGCCACGGCGCGGCGUGGCGAGCGGCAACGCUCCGCGCGCCGACCGCAGCGACAGGCAUAGCAGGCUGCGCGGGAGCUCUGGACGUGGUGAUCGUUCGUCGUCACCGUCGUCGUCGUCCUCGCCAGAGCGGAGCAACAGGCGCCGCUCCGUGUCCCGCGCGCCCUCGUCGCAUGGUCGCGCCACGGUGCGAGGAGUGGGGGCGUAUGGCUCCUCGACGCGUCGUUACAGCGGGAGGCUGGAGUCUGGGUUGUCCAUGGGCGUGAGGUCACGCCGCGGCUCCGAGCGGGCCGGACGCGGCGCGGCCACGCCGAGGCGAUCGUCGUCGAGCAGUGGCGAGGCGGCCACGAUAAGCAGCCGCAUCAGGCCGACCCGGGAACUCACAGAGCGCCGCGUACACGAAUCUGAAGAAAGCGGAGAACGGAGCCUUCGGCGGCGACAGAGGAAGGAAGGUGCCGUCGGUGGCAGCACUAGCAUGGGCUGGUCAAGCCGUCGGCCGCGGCGAGCGCUGGACCCAAUCACCUCCGGCAGCACGUACAGCAGCAGCUCGUCAGCUGCCGCUAGCCCGUCUCCCUCCGCCAGCCCCACGGCGCCAACAUCAACAUCGGCCCCUUCAGCUUCUUCCUACUCCUCGUCGGCGUCGGCGUCAGCGCCGCGGCGAGGCAGUGCGCUGCCGGAGCACAAAUUCAAGGAGGCGUCGAGCGCGUCAAGAAGUCGCCGGCGCCGGGAACGACAGGAGAGAAGGGAAGGGCGGCUACGAAUGUUCAAGGAGAAGCUGGCGCUGGUGUUCCACCACCGCCAUGACCAUCACCACCACCACCACAUCGGUGGCGGUGGCGGGCGCUCCGGCAGCCCCGUGCCCAGGCGCGACCGCCGCGGCAACAACAGCAAGUCGCCGUGGAGCUACCUCGGCGGCAUGUUCCACCGCAGCAUUGGCCACGACGCAAAGAAAAGCCACGACGCAAAGGAAAACCACGGCGCAAAGAAAAACCACGACGCAAAGGAAAACCAGGACGCAAAGAAGAAGACCACGAGCCGGACGGUGGUGCCGGUGCCGGCGCCGGCGAAGAAGCGCGGCGGGGGGCAAGCGCAGUCGCUGUUCGGCGCGCUGGUGAAGCACAAGUUGGGAGCGCGGAAGGCACCGGCGCGAGCUCCGACGGCGCGCGCGGGUACCCAGAGCAGGAUGCAGGUCAAUCACUGGUGGCAACUGCUGAGGCAACAGCACGGCCAGGCACAGCGUACCGGCAGGGCACGUCGUCGUUUAAGACAAGGGAAAGCACCGUAG